rnacentral:rRNA from 1 species
UCCGUAGGCGGGCGAUUAAGUCAGAGGUGAAAUCCCACAGCUUAACUGUGGAACCGCCUUUGAUACUGGUCGUCUUGAGUUAUAGUGAAGUAGAUAGAAUAUGUAGUGUAGCGGUGAAAUGCAUAGAUAUUACAUAGAAUACCGAUUGCGAAGGCAGUCUACUAACUGUAUACUGACGCUAAUGGACGAAAGCGUGGGGAGCGAACAGGAUUAGAUACCCUGGUAGUCC